rnacentral:rRNA from 1 species
GAUGAACGCUGGCGGCGUGCCUAAUACAUGCAAGUCGAGCGAACGGACGAGAAGCUUGCUUCUCUGAUGUUAGCGGCGGACGGGUGAGUAACACGUGGAUAACCUACCUAUAAGACUGGGAUAACUUCGGGAAACCGGAGCUAAUACCGGAUAAUAUUUUUAACCGCAUGUUUCAAAAGUGAAAGACGGUCUUGCUGUCACUUAUAGAUGUAUCCGCGCUGCAUUAGCUAGUUGGUAAGGUAACGGCUUACCAAGGCAACGAUGCAUAGCCGACCUGAGAGGGUGAUCGGCAACACUGGAACUGAGACACGGUCAAAACUCCUACGGGAGGCAGCAGUAGGGAAUCUUCCGCAAUGGGCGAAAGCCUGACGGAGCAACGCCGCGUGAGUGAUAAAGGUCUUCGGAUCGUAAAACUCUGUUAUUAGGGAAGAACAUAUGUGUAAGUAACUGUGCACAUAGUGACGGUACCUAAUCAGAAAGCCACGGCUAACUACGUG